UACGGGGGGGGCAAGCGUUGUUCGGAAUUACUGGGCGUAAAGGGCUUGUAGGUGGCCAACUAAGUCAGACGUGAAAUCCCUCGGCUUAACCGGGGAACUGCGUCUGAUACUGGAUGGCUUGAGUUUGGGAGAGGGAUGCGGAAUUCCAGGUGUAGCGGUGAAAUGCGUAGAUAUCUGGAGGAACACCGGUGGCGAAGGCGGCAUCCUGGACCGGCAUUGACGCUGAGGAGCGAAAGCUAGGGGAGCAAACGGGG
rnacentral:rRNA from 1 species